rnacentral:rRNA from 1 species
GACGAACGCUGGCGGCGUGCUUAACACAUGCAAGUCGAACGAUGAAGCCGGAGCUUGCUCUGGUGAAUUAGUGGCGAACGGGUGAGUAACACGUGAGUAACCUGCCCUUGACUCUGGGAUAACUGCUAGAAAUGGUAGCUAAUACCGGAUACGACCCUCGGAGGCAUCUCCAGGGGGUGGAAAGAAUUUCGGUCAAGGAUGGACUCGCGGCCUAUCAGCUAGUUGGUGAGGUAACGGCUCACCAAGGCGACGACGGGUAGCCGGCCUGAGAGGGUGACCGGCCACACUGGGACUGAGACACGGCCCAGACUCCUACGGGAGGCAGCAGUGGGGAAUAUUGCACAAUGGGCGCAAGCCUGAUGCAGCAACGCCGCGUGAGGGAUGACGGCCUUCGGGUUGUAAACCUCUUUUAGUAGGGAAGAAACGCUCUGGGCUAAUACCCCGGGGUAAUGACGGUACCUGAAGAAUAAGCACCGGCUAAC